UACGUAGGGACCAAGCGUUGUUCGGAUUUACUGGGCGUAAAGGGCGCGUAGGCGGCGCGGUAAGUCACUUGUGAAAUCUCUGAGCUUAACUCAGAACGGCCAAGUGAUACUGCAGUGCUAGAGUGUGGAAGGGGCAAUCGGAAUUCUUGGUGUAGCGGUGAAAUGCGUAGAUAUCAAGAGGAACACCUGAGGUGAAGACGGGUUGCUGGGCCAACACUGACGCUGAGGCGCGAAGGCCAGGGGAGCAAACGGG
rnacentral:rRNA from 1 species